rnacentral:rRNA from 1 species
AUUGAUUUUAUGCUUGCAUAAAUGAUUUUUGGAUUCGGAGCGAGUGGCGAACUGGUGAGUAACACGUGGGUAACCUGCCCCGAAGCGGGGGAUAACAUUUGGAAACAAGUGCUAAUACCGCAUAAUUAGUUGGAACCGCAUGGUUCCAACUUGAAAGAUGGCUCUGCUAUCACUUUGGGAUGGACCCGCGCCGUAUUAGUUAGUUGGUGAGAUAAAAGCCCACCAAGACGAUGAUACGUAGCCGACCUGAGAGGGUAAUCGGCCACAUUGGGACUGAGACACGGCCCAGACUCCUACGGGAGGCAGCAGUAGGGAAUCUUCCACAAUGGACGAAAGUCUGAUGGAGCAACGCCGCGUGAGUGAUGAAGGUUUUCGGAUCGUAAAACUCUGUUGUUAAAGAAGAACAAGUGUUAGAGUAACUGUUAACACUUUGACGGUAUUUAACCAGAAAGCCACGGCUAACCACGUGCCAGCAGCCGCGGUAAUACGUAGGUGGCAAGCGUUGUCCGGAUUUAUUGGGCGUAAAGCGAGCGCAGGCGGUUUUGUAAGUCUGCUGUGAAAGCCCUCAGCUCAACUGAGGAAGUGCAGUGGAAACUACAAAACUUGAGUACAGAAGAGGAAAGUGGAACUCCAUGUGUAGCGGUGAAAUGCGUAGAUAUAUGGAAGAACACCAGUGGCGAAGGCGGCUUUCUGGUCUGUUACUGACGCUGAGGCUCGAAAGCAUGGGUAGCGAACAGGAUUAGAUACCCUGGUAGUCCAUGCCGUAAACGAUGAAUACUAGGUGUUGGAGGGUUUCCGCCCUUCAGUGCCGCAGCUAACGCAUUAAGUAUUCCGCCUGGGGAGUACGACCGCAAGGUUGAAACUCAAAGGAAUUGACGGGGGCCCGCACAAGUGGUGGAGCAUGUGGUUUAAUUCGAUACUACGCGAAGAACCUUACCAGCUCUUGACAUCUUCUGCCAACCCAAGAGAUUGGGCGUUCCCUUCGGGGACAGAAUGACAGGUGGUGCAUGGUUGUCGUCAGCUCGUGUCGUGAGAUGUUGGGUUAAGUCCCGCAACGAGCGCAACCCUUAUUAUUAGUUGCCAGCAUUUAGUUGGGCACUCUAGUGAGACUGCCGGUGAUAAA